rnacentral:rRNA from 1 species
UAGGGAAUAUUGGGCAAUGGACGAAAGUCUGACCCAGCCAUCCCGCGUGCAGGAUGAAGGCCCUCUGGGUCGUAAACUGCUUUUAUUGGGGAAGAAAAAUCCUUAUUUAUAAGGACCUGACGGUACCCAAUGAAUAAGCACCGGCUAACUCCGUGCCAGCAGCCGCGGUAAUACGGAGGGUGCAAGCGUUAUCCGGAUUCACUGGGUUUAAAGGGUGCGUAGGCGGCUUGAUAAGUCAGUGGUGAAAGCUCGCAGCUUAACUGUGAAACUGCCAUUGAAACUGUCAGGCUUGAGUACAAUUGAAGUGGGCGGAAUACAUCAUGUAGCGGUGAAAUGCUUAGAUAUGAUGUAGAACACCGAUUGCGAAGGCAGCUCACUAAAUUGCAACUGACGCUGAGGCACGAAAGCGUGGGUAGCGAACAG